CACAAGGGGGCAGGCAGAAAGGACAGAGGGCCAGGUGGCAAGAGCAGGGCUCUAGCCAGCCCUGCUUUGUGGGGGACAAAUUUAAGAUGAGAUUCCACUGGUUAGAUUCUGUACAUGAAACAUUAUAACAAAUUCAUAAUUAUCCAGUGUAGAAUCUAAUUAUUGGGGGGCCAUCUUAAAUUUAGGAUCAUCUUGAAUUUGGGUAAAUACAUUAUUGUAAUCCCUUUUCUUUCCCUUCCAGAUCAGGCCUCCAAUUUGGUAAAUAUGUGUGAGUACAGACAUUUCAGCAAAGAGUUGAAGAUAUGCCCUGAGGAUGAUAUCUUGGCUCCACUGAAAUGAAUGGCAGAGCUCCAGUGGGGUAUGGAUCUCACCCAGUGUGUCUAAAGGCCUGUAGCAGAUUUACCUUUCAGAGCUCGGGUUGAAUCCCAGGCUUGAGAUCCUGCUGUUUUGAUUGGUGGAGCCCAUCUACCAAUCAGGAGGCAGCAAGAGAAACAACAUCAUGCCCCUUUUCUGCGGGGAGGGGGAGAAGAGCUCCCUUGGACCUGAUUGAAGACUGUAAACUGUCAGGUCUGGAAGCCUUCAGGGGAGGAGCCCUGGAGCAUAUAAAAGGAGCUGCACGAGGGGCGGAUGUGACAGGGGACUGAGAAGAGAGAAGAGCGGGGUUUAGAAGAGCUGAGGAGAACUGCUCAGCAGGGUGAAGCAGUAGCCCAGGAAGAGCCCCUGAAGACUUCUAUCAGCGGGGAGCGGCGGACGGUUCCAGCAGUUAGGUUCUUGGUUACAGCACAGUGCACAGUGUCCCGACCCUGGGAUCUGCAUGAGGCGGCUCAGGUCUGCAACCUCUGGUGCAUGGUGCACAGGCCGGUGCAUGGAGCAGAAUCUUUGGAGUCCCUGGGGUGGCUCAGGUCCUCAACCCCCAGUAUGAAGCUGGGAGCUCGAUGCAGGAGGCACCGCACGGAGGAUGAGAGACCCUGGGAGCCGCUUGAGGUGGCUCGGGUCUACAGCUGCUGACAUGGGGCAGCAGUUCAGUGCAGACAACGCAGCCCAGAGGGUCCAGGAACAGACCAAGCCCCGGUGCUGCACAAGGCUGUCCAAGCCUCCAACCCCUAGCAUAAGGCGAAGUGUCCACUACACACAGCAGUGCCUGUGGCCCUAGGCCAGGAUGGCUGCAGCAGACUGAGGCAGCAGGAAAACCUGGCGGGGACAGAGCUUGACCUGGAGAACAAGAGGCAACCCUCGAGGACUGUGGAGUAGUAGUACGUUACCCUGGAGAGAGGGUCCCCACAGGGGAGUCCCCUCCCCCCCCAACUGGGUGUGGUAUAUCCGUGUGUGUGUGUGUGUAUGUGUGUGUAUAAUAGGGUUUAUUGUUUUGUAAACUUGUACAUAGAUUAUAUAUAUAUAUAUAUAUAUAUAUAUAUAUAUGUCCUUACCCUUUAAUGGUUUUGUUGUGAUAAUAAAUCUGUAUAUAGUUAAGUAAUUGAUUGACUGGACCUGACUAUAGGGGACGGAGGCGGCCGCUGUGCUGUUGUGUCCCUCCACAGCACACUGCCCUGCCAAUAAUUCCCUCAAUUGGAGAGGGAAGUACAAACCCCUGUACACCUGGGCUACGGGCCUCCUUUGUCUCUGCUCUUUCAGGUAGCUCAAGUUAUCAAAGGGGAGGGGGAUAGGGUAUGAAAAGUCUCCCAGUUGGAUCCCCCAGAGUUUUGCACAGUCCCUCUAAGCUUUGGAUUCUUUCAAAAACUGUUACAGACAGAAAAGUGACUGUAAAAAAAACCCCUGUGAAGUUUUUUACUUUCAAAGUGAUUCCUGAACAAACUUGCUUAGUAUCAAAGUCAAAAGCUCAUUUUUCUUUCUGCUAACUCCUCACUGAGAAUUUGACAUUUGGCUUUUCUGUGUCUUAUAGUCUCUCUAAUAAUAAAAACUUUGCAGUCAGAUGCAGGCCUCAAAAAAAAAAAAUCCUGCGGAGGAUGAUAAAGUUGUGGAAUUUCUGCUAGGAGAGAUUGUUUCUCUCCAAAGCCUUACUCUAUAUUUGGUGCUCUUGGUAUGGAGGGAAAAGGUAAAGCAACAGGCCUAGCUGUUUUCUGUGGAAUUACUCCCACCCCUGUUUGCAUGGACAGUGUCAAGGAAGAUCGCUCAGGUUUCUGCUUAUACUGUGAAUUCCCUUGAUGACGUUUUGGGAACUGUGAUGUGAGGAACCAGCAAGAGGGCAGAUAACGAGGUAGCCAUAGUUGAGGGAAAUCUUUAGAAAGUAAUGCCAAGGUUGUUUCCCCCAGAGUGUUGAGAUACUGAGCAAAUUGAGGGCAGAACCCAGCCAUACCAGGGGCACAAUGGCAGACCUGGUUAAGAGGUUAAACAUAAACUAUUCUGACCCUUAACAGAGCUUUCUGCUGUGUAGGAAAUAGUUUGGCCCCUUGGCAGGAAUGGUAAUAAAAUGGAGAAGACACAAGUCUGAACAGUAUUCAUUUGCCACAUCUGUAAUGUUACUGGAUCAGCAGAGACAGUAGCAGUAGCCAACACUUGGGUUUGUAAGCAAAGUAAAGAAAGAUGCACCAGCAAACAGAUACGUUGUGUAACAAGGUUUUAUUUUUCAGUUGCUUUUCUGAUCAUGAUCAUGCUUUAAAAUCCCUUAAACCAGUUUCAACUGUGUUACUAAUGAUAGGAAAUUCACUUACUGCUUAAUUGCGCCUUUAAUACACAACAAGCGUGUCUACACGUCACCCUACAGUGGCAUAGUGACGUGCUACAUCACCAUACAGUGUGCUACGGUGAGGUAGUGAUCAUGUGUGUCUACAGGUGAUCACCAGCUAUGUCGCCAUAGUGGCGCGCUCCCCAGGUAUAGCGUGGCAUUAUGGCAACAUAGUGGUGAAAUUUAACUGUGCAUUGUGCGAUGCAGUAACUGCCCAUACCGCACCAUGCUUUAGAACUGCUAAAAGGAAGUACUAAAGCACAGCACCACAGCAACAUUGCCGUAUAGCAAUGUGUAGAUGCACCCAACCUGUAGUAAGAGAUGGUAUGAAGCCAUAAGAGCAUAAAAAGGCUACCUAACAGGCAUGGGUCAGCAAUCUACGGCCUGCAGGCCAGGUCUGGCCUGAAAAAAGAGUGGAUCUGGCCCAUGAAGUUCUGAUCCAGUCUGCAGUUUACUAAAGUUGUACCAAUCCCCCGCCAUUUGAUCUGGUCUGUUUCCCUAAUGGCAUGCUGAUUACCUCUGGCUAUUCCAGCCUGGGUUGGAGGGCUGUUCUUCCUCACUGUAGCCUCUACUCAGCACUCUGCUCAGAGCGGCUGUAGGGAAACAGUGCUGGCUGGGUAGCAAGUGCUGGCUGCAGUGCUGGCUGCGUAGCAAGUUGAGGCCCAUGUUAGUAAAAGGUUGCUGACCCCUGCUUUUGGGUGUAGUAUGUGUUUGACAGUGGGCUGAUUACAGGCAAUGGAGCUGUGGCUUUGCUCUUGUCACUCUGGGGGGAAAUUUGAGUGACCACAGGACAACGGUGGUGGGAUUGGUCCCUAGGCAAUGCAGAGACUGCAGUUGCGUCUACCUUCAAAUGGAUGUUGGAAUGAGUGGACUGGGAAACUCCUUGUGCCCUAUACCCUCACUAUGCUCCUUUGUAAAUGCCAGCCACAGCCUGACCUUUAAUAGUUGCAAUGUGAGCCAUGGUAUUUUCUAACUGAAGUCAUGCUAGCAAGCUGAAAGCAAAUUAGAAGUAGUGUAUUGCUUUAAUUACCUCUAUGCAGAAUGAAGUAAUAUGCCUUUGGGAAUAGGGGUGGCUGUGCACUCACAGUGCCAAGUAUGGGAUUUUUUUCAUGUGUUUUUGUGCAGAACUAAUUGCUCUAAUAAUAUAUUUUAAAAAUCAUUCCAUGAUGUGUUCCAUUUAUUAAGAAAUCUGUAGUCAAAAUGCACUGACAAACUAGAGAAUCCUCUGGGAACUAGACACAUCAAAGGUGUUCAAAUGUUACCAAAUACCAAUUGUGAAUUAAAAAUCCAAAGAGGCAAAGCAAAAUCUUUUUUAACUGAACCUGUUGAAGGUGAAGAUUCCAACAUGCUAAAUUUUGGGGUUGUAGUGCUGUAGAAUUCAAGAAGGAUUGGUUGCUAACCAUAAUCAAAGGAAUAAGGUUUCAUUCAAAUUGUACAGCUUUGGGCUGACUGCAGUAUCAUAGCUCCUAUCCACAUUUGACAGGAUAUUUUAACCUUUGCCUUCUCUUUUAAAUUUGUCUUGAAACACAGGUGAGAUUUUCAGCUGGUAUAAAUUAGCAUCAUACCAUUGAAAAUGGAUUUACAUCAGCUGAGGAGAUGACCAAUCUAAAUAAAGAUAUGGGGACUGACUCUGAUCUAACUUACACUCUUUUACAUCACUUUGUUGCUUCCUUUGAUUUCAGUGCAGUAAUUUUCCCUUUACACCAGUGUAGCUGACACCAGAGUAUCCCAUUAUUUUUAGUCUUUACUUUUGCUGAGGCACAAUCAAGCUUAAUAGAUACAAAAAGAAAAUAAUUAAACAACAAAACCCUUGGGAGGUUUGUACUUAAUAACUUCAUUCUCAAAUACCAGAGGCCUUGCUUGGAAUACAAUAGGCCAUAUUUAAAACUAGAGGUGGGUUGAAUUUCAUGUUUAAUAUCUUUUCAAUAAAGGCCCUUAUCCCAUAUGCUUCUCAAUACUAUCUUUUGUUUUGAAAAUCCUUACAUUUUUUACUCUUCAUUUGAUUUUAUAGAAUAGUGUUUGAUUUUUUUUUCAAGUUUGCAGUCACACAUUGACUGUUGAAAAAUGGGAAACAUUGCACAUUUUCCCUAUUUUUGAUAGACAUUUCAAAUAUUUAGCAAUUUGCCACACAGCUCUUUUUUCCCCUAAGUUAGAAAAUGGAAUUGCUGAAAAUCCCUGUCUUUUAAUGUUUCCAUAUACAUGUAUUUCAGUGCAAUAAAAUACACAGUUAAAACUC